rnacentral:rRNA from 1 species
GCUCAAUCGGAGCAUAGUGGCGGACGGGUGAGUAACGCGUGAGAAUCUAGCUCUAGGUCGGGGACAACCACUGGAAACGGUGGCUAAUACCGGAUGAGCCGAGAGGUAAAAGAUUAAUUGCCUAGAGAUGAGCUCGCGUCUGAUUAGCUAGUAGGUGUGGUAAGAGCGCACCUAGGCGACGAUCAGUAGCUGGUCUGAGAGGAUGAUCAGCCACACUGGGACUGAGACACGGCCCAGACUCCUACGGGAGGCAGCAGUGGGGAAUUUUCCGCAAUGGGCGAAAGCCUGACGGAGCAAUACCGCGUGAGGGAGGAAGGCUCUUGGGUUGUAAACCUCUUUUCUCAGGGAAUAAGAAAGUGAAGGUACCUGAGGAAUAAGCAUCGGCUAACUCCGUGCCAGCAGCCGCGGUAAUACGGAGGAUGCAAGCGUUAUCCGGAAUGAUUGGGCGUAAAGGGUCCGCAGGUGGCCUUGUAAGUCUGCUGUUAAAGAGUGAGGCUUAACCUCAUAAAAGCAGUGGAAACUACAAAGCUAGAGUGCGUUCGGGGUAGCAGGAAUUCCUGGUGUAGCGGUGAAAUGCGUAGAGAUCAGGAAGAACACCGGUGGCGAAAGCGUGCUACUAGGCCGUAACUGACACUGAGGGACGAAAGCUAGGGGAGCGAAUGGGAUUAGAUACCCCAGUAGUCCUAGCCGUAAACGAUGGAUACUAGGCGUGGCUUGUAUCGACCCGAGCCGUGCCGGAGCUAACGCGUUAAGUAUCCCGCCUGGGGAGUACGCACGCAAGUGUGAAACUCAAAGGAAUUGACGGGGGCCCGCACAAGCGGUGGAGUAUGUGGUU